rnacentral:rRNA from 1 species
AUGUGUGGCGGAGCGAUCCUCGCCGAGCUCAUCCCGGGCGCGCCGGCGCGGCGCGCCACGUCCGGCCAUGGCCACGUCUGGCCGGGCAAGGGCGCCAAGCAGACCAAGGCCGCCGCGGCCGACGACUUCGAGGCCGCGUUCCGGGAGUUCAACGAGGACUCUGAUGUGGAGGACGACGUCGUGAUGGUGAUGGAGCGGCGGGAGGAGGUGGCCGAGAGCAAGCCCUUCGUGUUCGCCGCUUCGCCCAAGAAGCAGCAGCAGGAGGAGGAGGAGGCGGCGCCCGUCCGCCGCAGGAAGCCGGCGCAGUACCGGGGCGUGCGGCGCCGGCCGUGGGGCAAGUGGGCCGCCGAGAUCCGCGACCCCGUCAAGGGCGUCCGCGUCUGGCUCGGCACCUUCCCCUCCGCCGAGGCCGCCGCGCUCGCCUACGACGAAGCCGCGCGCGCCAUCCGCGGGCCCAGGGCCAAGCUCAACUUCUCCUCCUCCUCUGCCGUCGCCGCCGCGGCCCCGGGAGCGCGCAAGCGCGGCCGCGCCGCGCCCCCCGCUGCCAAGCCAGCGCCGGUCAUCACCCUCGUCGACGAUGAGGAGGAGCACGCGUCGUCCUUCGUCAAGCACGAGGCCGAGGCGAGCGAGGGCUCCGAGUCCAGCGGCGCCCUCCCCGACUUCUCGUGGCAGGGCAUAUCGGCGUUCGACGAGGCCCCGGCGUACCCCGCCCCGGAGCCGGAGACCGAGCAGCUGACAAAGCGGGCGAGGACGACGGAGGCGGAAGACACCGACGAGGGCAUGUCGGCCCACCCGGCAUCAGACUCCGACUCCGACGCGCUCUUCGACGCCCUCCUCUUCGCCGACCAGUUCGCCUUCUUCAACGGCGGCGCCUACGAGUCCCUCGACAGCCUCUUCAGCGCCGACGCCGUGCAGAGCAGCGCCACCGCCACCGCCGUGAACGAGGCGGCCCUGGGGCUCUGGACCUUCGACGACGACUGCCUCGUCGACGAGUGCAGCCUGUCGUUCUAG